rnacentral:misc_RNA from 1 species
AAGUCGUAACAAGGUUUCCGUAGGUGAACCUGCGGAAGGAUCAUUAACACGUGAAAACGUAUUAAUUUACCUUGACCAACACCCUGUGAAUUUAUUCCUAUUCUUAACACCGGUACAUGUAAUGUAGUAGGAUGUGAUCGAUACUUCUCGGUCACAUUGUUGCAUCGUAGCUGGGGCUUCGAGCCCAAAGAGUGUUAUUGGGUAGGCAUUCUCUUUACCCUACUACAUAAACCAUACCAACCUUUUUCACCAAUUAAACAAAUGUGACUGAUGUACGUUGAUAGUACAGAAAUGUACUGGAUCAACACCAUUUAUCUAAACUAAGCACAACUCUUAGCAAUGGAUAUCUUGGUUCUC